rnacentral:lncRNA from 1 species
GGACCUCCAAGAUGGUGGAACUGCAUUUGUGGAAUCAUCCUAAUGAUUAGUGCUAAUUAGACUUGUGAUUUCACCAUGAUAUCAGAGAUCUAACUGUUUCCUUCCACAUACUGAUAAUAAUCUCAGAUGCCCCCGCGGAGUAAAGAAAAUUCUCUUCCACCACUGCACAUUCAUGAAAAUCAUGUCCUAUGAGAGUCGACUAAAGAAGUUAGAAAGAAAAUGUCCAGAGCAAAAGAUAAACAUGAUGGACAUAGUAGAGACAUAAAAGCCUGGAUCCACGUGCAGAUCUUCCUUCUCAGAGCUGGGCAACGUGUGCUCUGGACUUACUCUGUUACAGUUAAGAACCCCGAGCAACGGGUAAGUCACAAAGCUGCUGUGGACUUCAUUAUACUGGGUUUCUUU